UUCUUGGUGGUCCAGUGGCUAGGACUCCAUGCUCCCAGGGCAGGGGGCCUAGGUUCAAUCCCUGGCCAGGGAA
rfam:Ovis aries breed Texel chromosome 13, whole genome shotgun sequence.